CUUUGCUCGCAGCACUCGGCGACCUGGCGCUUGAGAACCGCUGUUGACUCAUUGGCAGGUCGUGUCUCUAUACCUUCGACCGGCUCGAUCAGCACGACAGGCUCUCCGGAGAACCCUCCGCUUCUCUCGACUCGGCCGGUCUCAGGCCGCGGCACGACUUCACGAUUUAGUGGAGUUGGUGACCACACGAUGAAUGCGGUUUCCGGAGAGCUGCAGUUCUCCGGCAGAUGCGGAUGCUGUACCGGAGGAUCCGGUUCGGCAUCCGCCAGGUAGGAGCGGCUCGAAGAUAUGAAAGCUGAACAUGCGGAUGCUGCACCGAAGGAUUCGGUUCGGGCCAAACAGAGUCGGCUCGAAGAUACAGGAAAGCCGAACGUGGCCGGCUCUGAGUUCCGGUAUUUCGGUGAGUGAUAAAAAUGGAUUUGAUGAGUAAAAGGUGAUGGGAGUUAGAGUGAAGAGUAUUUAUAAGAUUCGUUGAAAU